AUUGAACGCUGGCGGCAGGCCUAACACAUGCAAGUCGAGCGGAGCGGCGGACGGGUGAGUAAUGCCUAGGAAUCUGCCUGGUAGUGUGGGAUAACGUCCGGAAACGGGCGCUAAUACCGCAUACUAUCAGAUUAGCCUAGGUCUGAUUAGCUAGUUGGUGGGGUACAGGCCUACCAAGGCGACGAUCCGUAACUGGUCUGCGAGGAUGAUCAGUCACACUGGAACUUAGACACGGUCCAGAAUCCUACGGGAGGCAGCAGUGGGGAAUAUGGGACAAUGGGCGAAAGCCGGAUCCAGCCAUGCCGCGUGUGUGAAGAAGUUCUUCGGAUUGUAAAGCACUUUAAGUUGGGAGGCGGUAGCAACAGAAUAAGCACCGGCUAACUCCGUGCCAGCCGCCGCGGUAAUUC
rnacentral:rRNA from 1 species